rnacentral:tRNA from 1 species
UCCCCCGUGGUGUAAUUGGCAACACAGUCGGUUUUGGUCCGAUCGUUAGAGGUUCGAGUCCUCUCGGGGGAGCCA